rnacentral:rRNA from 1 species
CGGCGGACGGGUGAGUAACGCGUAGGAAUCUACCCAGUAGCGGGGGAUAGCCCGGGGAAACUCGGAUUAAUACCGCAUACGCCCUACGGGGGAAAGGCGGGGAUCUCUUCGGAGACCUGUCACUAUUGGAGGAGCCUGCGUUGGAUUAGCUAGUUGGUGGGGUAAAGGCCCACCAAGGCGACGAUCCAUAGCUGUUCUGAGAGGAAGAUCAGCCACACUGGAACUGAGACACGGUCCAGACUCCUACGGGAGGCAGCAGUAGGGAAUAUUGCACAAUGGGCGAAAGCCUGAUGCAGCCAUGCCGCGUGUGUGAAGAAGGCCUUAGGGUUGUAAAGCACUUUCAGCAAGGAGGAAUUAGCACGGUUAAUACCCGUGUGAAAUGACGUUACUUGCAGAAGAAGCACCGGCUAACUCCGUGCCAGCAGCCGCGGUAAU